AUUGAACGCUAGCGGGAUGCUUUACACAUGCCAGUCGAACGGCAGCACGAAAAGAGCUUGCUCUUUUUGGUGGCGAGUGGCGAACGGGUGAGUAAUGUAUCGGAACGUACCCAGUAGCGGGGGAUAACUACGCGAAAGCGUGGCUAAUACCGCAUACGCCCUACGGGGGAAAGGGGGGGAUCGCAAGACCUCUCACUAUUGGAGCGGCCGAUAUCGGAUUAGCUAGUUGGUGGGGUAAAGGCUCACCAAGGCAACGAUCCGUAGCUGGUUUGAGAGGACGACCAGCCACACUGGGACUGAGACACGGCCCAGACUCCUACGGGAGGCAGCAGUGGGGAAUUUUGGACAAUGGGGGAAACCCUGAUCCAGCCAUCCCGCGUGUGCGAUGAAGGCCUUCGGGUUGUAAAGCACUUUUGGCAGGGAAGAAACGGCGCUGACUAAUACUUGGCGCAACUGACGGUACCUGCAGAAUAAGCACCGGCUAACUACGUG
rnacentral:rRNA from 1 species